GUUGUCUAGCUCAGUCGGUAGAGUGCAAGGCUUUUAACCUUGAGGUUGUGGGUUUGAGCCCCACCGUGGGCG
rnacentral:ncRNA from 7 species